rnacentral:lncRNA from 1 species
GAUGGCAGAGUACGGGUCAGAAGGGAUAGUGUCAACUAUGGGAGAUGUUUACAGCUACGGCAUUUUAUUGAUGGAAACCUUCACAAGAAAGAAGCCAGUAGAUGAUGAGUUUGUUGGAGACCUUACCUUGAAGAGAUGGGUCGCGGAGUCAUAUCCUCAUAGAGUCAGGGACAUUGUGGAUGCUAAUUUAUUUUCAACAGAUGAUAGCUAUUGAAAGUUGUUUGAGAUCGGUAUUGGAUGUAGCUCUUGAAUGUACUGGAUCCUUCUUCCAUGGGUGAAAUAAAGUUUUCUAAAUUCCUUCUCACAUUGCAAGUACUUGAAAUUUUUAAUGAUUGGAGACAACCAAUUUAAUGGCAUUCUUCCGAAAUCAUCCUUAACUAAUAUGUCGUUGUCUCUUGAUCGAUUCAUCGCAUUGACAAAAACCUUAGGCACCAUUGGCUACAUGGCACCAGGUACUGAUCAAUUUUUUAUUUACUAAUUACUUUCUUUAACUUGUAUUCUAUAUGCAUUUAUGAUGAUGGCAGAGUACGGGUCAGAAGGGAUAGUGUCAACUAUGGGAGAUGUUUACAGCUACGGCAUUUUAUUGAUGGAAACCUUCACAAGAAAGAAGCCAGUAGAUGAUGAGUUUGUUGGAGACCUUACAUUGAAGAGUUGGGUCGCGGAGUCAUAUCCUCAUAGAGUCAUGGACAUUGUGGAUGCUAAUUUAUUUUCAACAGAUG